CCAGUUUUUUGCGCGCGGCACGUUCGGCGCCUGUUGGAGAUGCUCUUACUUAAAAAAAAAAACUCUCCCUCUCGUCUAACCCUAGCGCCGCCUCUCAUCUCCGGCUGCUCGCCGGUCAUCGCCCCGCCAAACGCAGCCGCACCCCCGUCACCCCCGGCUGCUUCCUUGCCUUCACCGCCGUCCUCGGCCGUAGGACGCCGCCACACUUCCUAUCUGCAUCGUCCUGCUGGCGGAUCGAGGUCACGGCACGGACGACCCAUCAUCUCCGACGGCGGAUCUGGCCGUGGGCGAGGAUGCCGAGCCACCUGCUCCAGUCACGGCCAUCCCGACUCCUCGUCCACCCCCUGCCCCGUCCGGUUCAUUUUGGUUCGUCCUUCAUCCCGUCCACGCCGAUUUUGUUUACCUUAUUACGAUGUCCCACCUCAUCUCGUGCUCCUGACAUGCCGAGGGGGCGAGAGGAGUAAGAGAACAGGGACGAGUGCGCAGAGGAGGAAGAUGCCUGCCGUGAAGCUGCCAAGCGAGAAGACAGAGGAGGAGCGAUACUUGCGGAGGCGGCCGAGAUCGGGUACUACAUCUUCUUAGAUCUUUGCCGUCGUCUAGGUCAGGCCUCCCUCAGAUGCCCUGAUCCUCCAUCAUCAGGGAUGCCCUGCACUCUCCUCUCUAUGUCUGCUAGCGGUGGCGGCUGCCGGAAAUAGAGGGGACCAGUGGCAACGUGGAAUGGUACCCAGGGGCGUUCUGGUACAGCGAGAGAGGAAGCAGAUGAAUGUGCCACAUGUGAGAGGGAGAGGUCUGUAAUGGUAUCUGGUGGUGGCCUCUUGAAAAGAACCCAAGAUUCUCACUAAUAUCCUGUAGCUUGCUGUGUUCUUCGGGCUCUCUCAAACGACAAGAAGAUGAGUUACAGCGAAUUAUACAUCUCACCCCAUUGUUUGUACAAUGGUAUCCACUUUGAGUAGUAGUGUUGUGGGUUGUGGCUAACUGGCUAUGUGGAUUUGUCAGUGAUUUGCUAGCUUUGAUGUGUUUCGGUUGGAUGAAAUGGAGUGUGUUGGUGCAGGUGCGAUGCAUCCGAUUGACUAUAGGAGGACCGAGGACAUGUGGUGAGGCGCUGUGCCCUGUGGCACAACGACAAGGGUGCGCACAAGCUGACCAGCGUCUAGCUCCAUGGCAUCAUCAAUGACAGAACCAGUACAAAUUGGCUUUUUAAAAGAGGAACAAAUGAUCGUCAAUGGUGCACUAAACCAUGAGAGUGUGGCGCCUUCUGUGUUGUGGACUUGGCAUGGGCUGGCUUCUGUUCACUGCUGUGUUCUUGCUGCCAUUCCGCGGUAUAUUGGAGUGUUUCAUCCUAAUAUAUGUCUGGUUACAUGACCACAAAGAGAAAGAAGGGUAUGAUGUAAGCAAACGUGGACACUCAAGAAGAAGCUGAAAAAUCAGUAUUGGAACCCAGCGAGGAAAUCUGAAAGCAUAGACCAUGUUUAAGAACUGGUUGUUUUUGUUGUGCUAUUUUUAAGAAAAAGGAUUGUCUCGAAGGAAAUGAAGCUUACCAACAAGGAAAUUAUGGUGAGGAGCACUCUUCUGCCCCCUUGGUAAUACAGAGAUGCAAUGCAAAGCGAGGAAAUCUGAAAGCAUAGACCAUGUUUAAGAACUGGUUGUUUUUGUUGUGCUAUUUUUAAGAAAAAGGAUUGUCUCGAAGGAAAUGAAGCUUACCAACAAGGAAAUUAUGGUGAGGAGGCACUCUUCUGCCCCCUUGGUAAUACAGAGGUACUCAACUCCAACCCUAUACAAGAAGCGGAAUAUAUCAUACUCUAGAGUUUGGACUUUAGACAUAUUUUAUCCUUUUAUUAUACUCAUGGUCGUUUUGGAAAACAGAUGCAAUGCAAAUGUUAUGUAUUGUGCUUUUGCUUGUUCAAGGGACCUCCUAAUGACACACGAUGGAAACGGAUCCGUGGAUUAAUUCAGAUGGCAUUAAUUGGAGAGAAGGGAUCUAGCUAGGUUUGCAAUGGCAUGUGUACUACCAAAAAGUAACAUCCUCAGGUUCUCUCCUGCAAAUCUAAAGAUCAUGUUCGCAGAGCUAAUAAAUGUAUAUGGAUUAAAAUAAAGAUGAUUUGUAUUCACCGAUAUAUAUGUAUUUCCAUCAAGAAAUAAGUUUGGAAGAGUAGUAAGUACCACGGCAUUUUCUUUCAGAAUGCAAUGGUGUUUAUUUGAUAAUGUGUUUAUAUGACAUGCAUAUGUUGCUUUAAUUUGCUCGUCCGCGAACCCCUCAAAAUUAUCUGACAAUCUGCUUAUACAAACAGCUUUGAGUUUGGUGCACUCUAUUGCUUUGUUAGGCUUGGUGGUGUAUCAGAUUCAGGAGAAUAAUAGUCCCUCUGUCAUCAUAUUUUUGUUUGUGGUAAUGCAUGACAUUCAACUGUAUGUAAUAUGGCAAUGACUCAAGAGACAUCGGAUCUGCCUUCUUGGCUUAGGGCAUCAGGGGUGGCACACACGUCCCACUUGGUGGCGGUGGCAGAUCGGCAAGAACAAGGGUGGGGUUGUAUUAAGGAGGAGAGCGGGGCGGUUGGCGAGGGACUGGCGAGGGACUCCUCCUUGGCGGUCCGUGGGGAAGUAAGGUGAGGUGGGUCUCAUUACUAGAGCCAUAUGACCAAAAAGAUGAUAGGAAAGGCUCUUUCCAAGCAUACAAGCAUAAGGUCAAGUUUAUUUCAUCAUCGAUCCAAAUAUUGUUCCAUAGAAUAAUUGUGUCACCAGCUCUAGGAAUGCAAGUUGUAACCCCUUUGUAUAUGUCCAUGAACGAGAACACAUCGUUCUGUAUAUCUUUCCGUAAAAGAACUGUGCAAAAAUUUCUUAAGCGCAACAACUAGAUAUUAAUUUGUAAUAGAAUUUUAGUUGGAUCAUUGCUCUAUAUGUACACAUCAUUAAUUUAUCAUUUUUUAUCAAUUUA